rnacentral:misc_RNA from 1 species
CUCAGGUCAAUAGCCGGUCUUGUUAAGUAGUUCGUGACCGCAUGCACAGUGGAGACUGCACGACAGUAGAAACAGGGAUUUCGGUCUGCGGAACCAAGAAUGGACAGAGGCAGCAGGGCCCAAGAACGACUACCACGUGGAAGGAUGGUACCACAAGCUCUACAAGCUCCUGGGUGUAUGGAAGAAUGGGCAAACCUACACUGAAAUUAACAUUCUUCAACUCCAAGAAACCGGCAUGACCAAGCCUAGAAAGAAGAAAUACCAUCUCCUUGGACUUUUUCCCAGACCUAGUAAUACCUUGAAAACAGUUUCUAGAUGGUGACAUUGUAUGUUUUACCCAGAUGCUUCCUCCCAUGGAGUUCCUGACUAUGUAUGUACCCGAGUGUCCCAUGUUUUUUUAUUUGGGUAUCUGAAAACC